rnacentral:rRNA from 1 species
UCUAGGAAAGGAGGGUGAAAUCUUUUUUCUAUGGGGGGCAAUUUUAAGAGCCUAACCCUCUAGGAUAAACCGGGAUUAGAUACCCCGCUAUACAGGGGAGGUUCAAAGGGGGGUAGUAACGGCUAUGGGCCCUAAACCCAAAGAACUUGGCGGCAACUUAUCCAACUAGAGGAGCCUGCCCCAUAACCGAUACCACCCGUUAACCCAACCUCCAGCAUGUUUGUAUACCGCCGUCUAACCUUUAACUUUUAAGUUGGGGUUUAAAGGUCGCCCUUAAAGACAGGUCGAGGUGCAGCGUAUAUGGGGGGGGAGGUGGGCUACAAUCCCAAUGGAGGCAGACCCCCUCCUAAGGGAGGGGGGCAAGAUGGAUUUAGAGGUAACGUGGGGUCAAAACCCCCCCGUGAAUUGGAUCUGAGUUGUGUACAUAUCGCCCGUCACUCUCAUCAAACUUGAGAUAAGUCGUAACA